rnacentral:rRNA from 1 species
AUUGAACGCUGGCGGCAGGCCUAACACAUGCAAGUCUGGCGAGCGGCGGACGGGUGAGUACUGUAUGGGGAUCUGCCUGAUGGAGGGGGAUAACUACUGGAAACGGUAGCUAAUACCGCAUACCCUCAGAUGAACCCAUAUGGGAGUGGCUUUUAGGUUAGGUAACGGCUACCCUAGGCGACGAUCCCUAGCUGGUCUGAGAGGAUGAUCAGCCACCCUGUGACUGAGACACGGCCCAGACUCCUACGGGAGGCAGCAGUGGGGAAUAUUGCACAAUGGGCGCAAGCCGGAUGCAGCCAUGCCGCGUGUAUGAAGAAGGCCUGCGGGUUGUAAAGUACUUUCAGUCGGGAGGCGUUACCGACAGAAGAAGCACCGGCUAACUCCGUGCCAGCAGCCGCGGUAAUAC